rnacentral:rRNA from 1 species
UCUGUCGUUUGAGCGUGUUACCGAGCCGAGAAUGAGGCACCGGGUUAAUUUCGUGUCCAGGCAGCUGGGGUUAUUUCCGAGGUGUCCAGCGUUAUUUCGGAAAUUACUGGCGUUAAGGCGCACGUCAGGGCGUUCGGUCAAGUGGGUAUGAAAAUCCCCGGGUUCACCUGGGGAAUGGCAUCAGAAACGGCGCAGGCUGAGAGUCUGGUAGAGGGGGGUGGAUUUCCAGUUGAGGCGUUGAAAGCGUAGGUAUUGGGAAGGACUACCGGGGGGGAGGGGGCCCCCUUGGAUGAUGACGAACGUUCGGGUGGGAAGGCGGGGGGAGCAACCAGGAUUAGAUCCCUGGUUAUUCCCGCCGGUAAAGGAUGUAAAUUGGGAGGUGGUUCCCUGGAGGUUUGGUUUCGGAAGUUAACCCGUUAAGUGGCCCCCUGGGGGAUUCGGCCCCCAGGGUUAAAAUUCAAAGAAAUGGAGGGGGGCCCGCCCAAGCGGGGGACCAUGGGGUUUAUUUGGAGGCAACGGGAAGACCUUUACCUGCUCUGGCCAUCCACAGAACUUCCCAGAGAGGCCUGGGGCCUUUGGGGAAUUGUGAGCCAGGGGUGCCAGGGCGUUGUUCAGUUGGUUUUGGGAAAUGUGGGGUUAAUUCCCGCAAGGAGGCCAACCUUUUUCUUAGGUACCCACCGGUUAGGCCGGGCACUCAAAGGAGACUGCCAGUGAUAAACCGGAGGAAGGUGGGGAUGACGUCAAGUCAUCAUGGCCCUUACGGCCAGGGCUACACACGUGCUACAAUGGUGCAUACAAAGGGAAGCCAUGUCGCGAGAGGGAGCUGACCUCAUAAAGUGGGUCGUAGUCCGGAUUGCAGUCUGCAACUCGACUCCAUGAAGUCGGAAUCGCUAGUAAUCGGAAUCAGAAGUUCGACCGAAGGGUCC